UAUAAAUGAGUUAAUCAUAAACUUUCAAAGGAAUGCACAGGAAGCAUCCAUCAGGCGCAUAGGAAAUUCGUGGAAGUAACAAGCAUUCUACGAUGACAUCCCACUAUCAUUACAUACUACAUACCAAUAUUUAUUCCACGAGUGAUCCUCGAUUUCGAGAAUUACCGUAAUUUCCAUGUCGCUGUGUAGUCAAACGCACGUGGGCGUAACCCACGCAAUUCUUUGAGUAUUCGUAAACCAUUGCUCUGCAGUAUCCACCAUAUAAAUGCCAUACGAAUAUGACGUGUGGGCAGCGAUUAAUUAAGUAACAGGUAGUUAACGGUGAGACAGGUAUCGGUGAUAGCCAAACCGAUCAUUAUAACAAGAACAUAAUAACCCAUGAUGAAAACCUUCAUUUUUUUUUUAAAUAACUAUUAGGCCUUAUGAAAUUAUCUAAAAAAUCGCCUACGCACAAUUUUUUGACAGUUUCUUCAAACUUUCUAUAUCCACAGCUGGGCUAUGUUCUACAAUAUGAACUUUUGGUUGCCAGGAAGUAUCGUAUACCAGUCCAAGUUAAUUAUAAAUUUCUAUCGACACGAUGUCCCUUCUUCUCGUGUACCAAUGACAUUUGGCAGAGCCUCCCCGACGUUCGGUAAUAAAACAUAAAUUUACUUCCAUGAAACGCAGCUUCUCCCAGCAUUCUCCGUGGGUGAUUAUAGCUACACACAUGGAUGCCUGUGCAGUACAUCGUUUCUGGUAUAGAAAUAGCAGAAUGCAAUAAUGUACACUGGCCACAACGAAGCAGGCGACAGGACCACCACCUCGAUACAGUGAGCAACGUGGGAGACGACGUGAAAGUACAUUUUCUAAUGGAGAUCAGCCAUUGCCGAAGAAGGGAAAAGAAGUGUCGAAAGACGAUAUGUAAGAGAUUGUGUAAACCGAAUGAAAUAUCCACCGAAAUACGUAAGAACUGACAGAUUUCUUCUUUACCCUCCGUUGACUCACGUUCCCCAUGAGGGAUCAGUGCCAGACUAAUACGAAUUUAACAGACGCAUUGUUAAAAGGAAAGCGUUUUCAGAACCGUCAUAUUUUCACCAGACAGGCAUAUACCGGUACGUGCAAGCAGUAGCUUGACUUUUCUACGUUAAAGAUACGAGAAGACUAUACGGACAGGUAGGUGUGCUGGAACCUGUCUCUCUGGCAGCGGAUGCAAGUUCGAACCUGCAGAACCUGCAAGGUCGAGGAACCUGACGCAAGCGGUUGUCGGUAAGAUAUGAACAUGCCGAGAUUUCAUCCCGCUGAAGCCUUUACCAAUUGUUAUUUAUGAGCCCCCCGAGUAUAACGGCGGUGGAGAGACAAUUUCUUACUUUUUUUUUCAUAUGUUUCUCUGUGUCAAAAAAAAAAAACAAUACGCAUCGGAGACCCUGAGAUUAUUUGACAUAAACACAACGACGCCUUUGUCGGCCAUCAUUAAUGUUUCAAGCCACACACACAUGGGAUCCAGGUGCCUACAGGGUAAUUUGGAGCUUCUCAAUUGGAUUCACGAUAAAGGACAUGAAUAAUACAGUUUCUGCAGUAAUCGUCGAGGCUUGCCAUACAACACUGUAUAGAUAUACAAUAAAUAAUACUGACCGUGCCAGCUGCUGCAACAAAGGUUGUACCUUUUA